rnacentral:rRNA from 1 species
UACAGAGGUCUCAAGCGUUGUUCGGAUUCAUUGGGCGUAAAGGGUGCGUAGGUGGCGCGGUAAGUCGGGUGUGAAAUUUCGGAGCUUAACUCCGAAACUGCAUUCGAUACUGCCGUGCUUGAGGACUGGAGAGGAGACUGGAAUUUACGGUGUAGCAGUGAAAUGCGUAGAGGUCGUAAGGAAGACCAUGGCGAAGGCGGGUCUACUGGGACAGUUCCUGACACUGAGGCACGAAGGCCAGGGGAG